GUUGGUGACCAGCGGAGGGAUCAUUA
rnacentral:rRNA from 3 species